GCUUUUGUUUCCUCAGCUGCACGUGAUGAGGCUAGACACCUGCUCACAGGAUCCUUUCAGCUUGGAAUCUGGCUCAGUGGGCCAGCCUGUGUUCCCCAGGCAUCCUUGGGGAGCUGUGUUCCAUUUUCACUCCACUGAAGAGUUCCUGGGAGUUCAUAGAAUGGUUGCUGGGACUGAACAUCAGCCCUGCUCCCCCAACCAGUGGCUUUCCCCGACAUUCCUACAGAUGGGAAAGAUGCACAAGCCUUCCUGCAGGCCUCCCCAAUAAAGCCAGAGCUGUCAGACAUUCCACAGCCCCUGCAUCCCUUCUUGAUGCGAUGAGAUAAGGCUGGGGGCUCAUCAGAAAUGUCCCCACAGACACUGAGACCUCACUGUUGGCAGUUGCUUCUUUCUCUUGGACUCCAAGGCCUAUGUGUCCACUGCCCUUCUUCCAAACCUCCAGGUAGGCCCUUACUGCUGAUGCUGGUCAGUCUUAUUUUUGUCACAUAGGUCUUACCUCCAAUGUAGUAGAAACUGAGGCUGUCCUUCCCAUCUUUACCUUCUGUUCUCCCAGGUUUUUGUUUUGUUUUGUGUUUUCUUUUCAGGAAGGGUCUUGCUAACUUGCUCACGCUCUAACUCUUGAUUCUCCUGCCUAGGCCUCCCAGAGCACUGGUAUUACAGACCUGUGCCACCACUGCCAUCCCUAGCUCCUUUUCUUCUGAGAGGCACCUACCAUGUGCCAGAACAUCACAUAGUCCCUGCACCGAUUCUGCCCCAUGGACAUUGCCGUCCCUACCUUGCUGUGGAGGGAUCAUCUAGAGAGAAGUAUUUUUCUCAAGGUCACUCAGCCACAAAGUGAUGGCUGGGAUUCAACCCCACAUCUAACUUCACACCCAGGUGGGCUCCCCUGCAAAGGCCCAGUAGGUGCAUAACCCAUCCC
rnacentral:lncRNA from 1 species